rnacentral:lncRNA from 1 species
UCAAAUUUUAAUUGUACGUGAUUUAUAUAUAAAUCGUCAUAUCGUGACCAUACAUUUAAUAAAUAGACGGUGUAGAUGCGUCCGAAACAGAAUACAAAUCAUUACAAUUUUCCCUAACCGUUUUCUUAAAUUGAAUAGUCAGCUUAUUUAGAUCUACGCUUAUAUAUACCGGAAAAAUCGCUUGCCGUUUAUCGCGCUCGUCGGAAAAGAUGCAGAUUUUUGUGAAGACUAUGAGUGCGAAGACCAUUAUUGUCGAUGUCGAGGCCAACGAUACAAUCGACAGUGUUAAGGCUAAGAUCGCGGCCAGGGAAGGUAAACAGAUUCUCUCUUUCUGUGAAACGACGUACAUUCUGAUAUUUAAAUGAUAACCGAUCGUCAAUUGGGGGUUUUAUGAUUAGGAAUUAAAUCCAGUAAGCAACGUCUGACCUACGCCGGAAGAGAGCUGGAGAAUAGAAGGACUCUUGCAGAUUACGACAUCAAGAAAGGUUCGUUAUCGUCAAAUUGGGAAGGAUAUUUCUUCUUUUUGUGUUAUCGUUUUUUGAAAAUUUCUUUCUUCCAG